UUGCCUGCACCUGCCGGCGACCGGCGCACGGGUGAGUAACACGUAUGGAACCUGCCCGCCACAGGGGGAUAACCCGGGGAAACCCGGCCUAAUACCCCAUGCCGCCCGGACCGGGCAUCCGGUCCGGGCGAAAGGAGGAAUCCGGUGGCGGCUGGGCAUGCGGCGCAUUAGCUUGACGGCGGGGUAACGGCCCACCGUGGCGACGAUGCGUAGGGGUUCUGAGAGGAAGGUCCCCCACACUGGAACUGAGACACGGUCCAGACUCCUACGGAAGGCAGCAG
rnacentral:rRNA from 1 species